GCAGAUAAGGUACUUCUUGAAAUACAAAAGAAACGUUACUGGGAUUUGCUAAGCAGAAAUCAAUUCUUCAGCUCUCCCAGAUCAGUCUGGAAUUGCCUGUUCCCUACCCCUGGGAAGCAGAAUGAGCAACAGUGUUUCAUCAGAGCCUAGAAGAACUUGAAGAGAUGCGGGAUUUCCAGAAGGAAGGCAGGAGAUUCUGCAUUUCUAUUCACAGUCAAGCACCAGACAAAAAUUUCCCUGCAUCUGGAUCAAGAUGCAGGCGGAGAUCUUAUCACUCUACAACUACCUGAAGGGAGGUUGUGGUGAGGUGGGGGUUGGCCUCUUCUCCCACGUAACUAGUGAUAAGAUGAGAGGGAACGGCCUCCAGUUGUGCCAGGGGAGAUUCAGGCUGGAAGUUGGAAGAACUUCUCCCAAAGAGCGGCCAGGUGCUGCAAUGGGCUGCGCAGGGAGUGUGGAGUCACCAUCCCUGGAGGUGUUCAAGAAACGUUUAGAUGUUGUACUGAAGGAUGUGGGUUAGUGGGGAAUAUUGGUGAGAGGUGGACAGGUUGGACAGGGCCUUACCUCCUAAGGUCUUGGCAGAUGCCUUUUAUUUAACUCCAGCUUAAAAGUUCUGUAGUUUGCGUUUGCCACAUUCUCCCGUUACUAUGUUGAGCUGUUUGGAAAGAAUCUUAAGUUCUCAUUAGAAUAAGAAAAUAUUUAAAUCUGCAGCUGUUAUCAGGCACUCAGACAGAAGUAGCUCUUUGAAAGAAAUAUUUUGAACAUGCCUUGACAAAUGCAAACCUGCUUGCUGUAUGUAUGAAAGAGUUCAUUGUGUGCUCGAGGCAUAUAAUAAGGCAAAAACAAGUAUUUUGUGUAGCCUAGAAGAAAAAUCCUAACUAUGCUGUGGUGGGCCAGCCUAUCUACAGUACUUGAAUUUUCAGUUUGGUGGAUGUCCUGUAUACUCUGAAAAAGAUUGCACAAACAGUAAGGAAAAGAACAACCUUGACUUUCCACGCGUUCUGGGCUGUAGAGUAAGCACUUCCAGGACAUAGCUUGUAAUCUUCUGUCCAGCCUGGCUUUUCUGCACAAAUCUGUGGUUUCGGAGUCCUUGUGAGUGACGUAGACCCGUCUGGUGACCUGCUGGUAUCUGAGCUCUUCCAGGGCUUUGUGUGUCUGCCUCUAGAGGGCUCACUCUUUCCUUUGGCCAUUGCGAAACCAGGGGCAUAGAAGAUACGUGACGCUGCUCUGCACCGGGAGCUGCGCGAGGGAGCCCGCGGCGCGCCGUCGUUCCCAUCGUAUUGCAGAUACCGCUGGAAAGCUGAGCCAGAAAAAAAUUCUUUGCACUGUAACGCCUUCUUUCCAACUGCACAUCUUUUCAGAAGUUGCAGUGAUUCUGACACCAAUUCUGUGUUUUGUUUCCUUGCUGGCUAAAAUUCAAGUAGUUGGUCCAGGCUGGGAUGCAGCCUGUCCUGCACCAUGGCCAACAGCAGUAAUCUGGGGAGAGUGCAAAAAGCCAGGAGAGAAGUAAUUCGCACAGGGGGUGGGGUGAAACAACAGUGUGUUAGAAUAAUGUUCUUCUUUGCAUCUCUUAGAUGAGAUUUAAAAAAAAAAAGUCAUUGUGUUUCUCCUUAUAUGAAAUAUAAAAGAUAUCUGUGUGUGUGUGCUUAUCAGCCUAAGAGACCUUUCUUUUAGUUGAAUACAAAAGCAAGUUCUGGUGUCAGCAUAGGGAAAGAAAAACAACAGCGCAACAAUGGAACAGAAGACACUUCAAGCUUUCUGUAUAAUUAAUUACAGUAAUUUAAAAAUCUUGUGCAAAGUCUGUGCUUGAAGAAGUUCUAAGUUGCAAUUAAGCCAAGCUGCUAAUGAUGGAUUUAAUUGUUGGGUUACAUACAGGCACAGGUGACACAAGUCGGGCCGCUGACAUCAGAGGUUUCACCUAAUUGCUUUCUGUUGAUGCUUCUGAUUCCACACAGCUGUUCCAGCAGCUGGAAUGACCGGCAGGAGGUGAAGCCUGGAUGACCAUCAAGAGUUUGCCCUGGCAAACUAAACUGUCCAACUGCCGCGGGGCUUUAGAGGUACCACGUCCUUACUCUGCCUCUCCAGAGCUUCUGGGGGACGCUGCUUCUUUUGUACCACCCCCGCUGAGCCCCCAAUACCAAGGGACUUGAGACGGGAGAAAGAAUUGGAUGCUGAGGUGGCUCUGCAAAGUGUUCCUUUCUGUAAUGGCAGCCAGGUGAAAUCUCACAUUUCUGAAGAAAUGAAAUGCAGUUGAGGCGAAGGUCGCAUUCAGCAGUGUCGUCAGGCUUUGUGGUAUUGGUGAGCCUGCUUUUAAAAAUAAAAGUGGAUCCUUUCUUCUUCUCUCUGUUCCAUCUUUCAGAGGACUUUCUUCUCCAAAAUAUUAGAAAUGUUGCAUCAUACAUGGAAGGACCUUUCUUUUACUGCAGUCUAAGACUGAAUGCCUUGACUGAUAAAAAGAUACCAAGAUAAACAUCCAAUCUUGGACAUUUACUAUUAAGGUUACAUUUAAAGUCUGAAUACAGAGUGUGUGGAAGCUUGCAGCCUUCCUGCUGCACAGGGCAGUGUGUAAAUACCGGGGGAUCUUGAGGAGAGCAUUUAUGUUCUUAUUUUUGGAUUGACAUUAAAAGCUUUGAAGAAUAAUUUCAUCUAAAUUUAUUUUUGCGCUAUGUUCUUUCUCAUUUUAGCACUGAAAAGGUUGUUUCUGUCUUAAUUGUAGCAUCUCCGUUUUGUAUUCUAGUUUUGUCUGCUUUCUGAAGUGUAGGAAUUAGGGAUCUGUACUCUUGGUCUUAAACCUCUUUGUAACUUCUAGCUGUUAUUUGUUCAUUUAUGUAUUUGGUAGUGCUAGAUAGAGAUGAGAAAGUGGCUAGCUUUUGCAGAGCAAGAGAGGAUCCAGCAAUUUUGCAUCUUUUAAGUAGUUUAAGGAAAGGCUGAUGGAUAAAUCCCGGCAGAAAUACUUAUGAAAGCUGUUCAUUUCUUCCCUCCUCACUUCUUGUAAUAAUAUUUUGCAAAGGCUCGCCUUUCCCCUCAGAAAACUGUCUUUCUAGUAUUUUCUUGUUAAUGAAAUUUUAAGUCAAUGAGCUGGUUCCCAAAUAGUAAUAGACCAAACCAGGAUGUGCAUUAGCAGGCUAAUGGCAGCCACCCUCCCUUGCUGAAGGCAGUGUGUCUCAUGGCAGUCAUCUAGGAGUUGGCUGCAUCGCUCGGAGCACUUAAUGUUGGCUCUGCUAAAGCACUUCUUGUCCUCCCAUCAUCUCCUUUGGGAAACUUCUCUGUUGACUAAUAGAUCCCACUUGUCAGGAAGCCUUUCCUGUUCUUCAGUCUUACUGACCUCAGUUCCAAUACAUCUAACUGUAAUUUCUUUAACUACUCUUUAAUGAAAUAUUAAUAAAGAGAGGCAAAAAGCCAUCACAUUUAUAUUCAUAUAAAAAAUGGAAACUAAUCUGUAGUUUGGUCUUCACUGUAAGACUUGCAGAACUAACUGUUCAACAAUAGUAGUUAAACGCUGCCUGCACACGUUUCAGGCUGAUAGUGGCAGGACCUGAAGUUGGCUUGCAUAAAUCCAGCUAUAAGUAAAACUACUGGGACUUGGAAUCUGUCAGGACCGGUGUGUGUGUGUGUGUGCCUGCGACGUGCAAAAGCUGGCAGCUGCUGAAAGCAAAGCUGACCUUCCGGCGGCUCCUGGGACGUUUGCGAGGUUGCGCAGUGCUGGUUGAGAUGCUGUGGGCAAACCAGAGCCCUGGGGUGGGAGGGGAACCACCGGGGCUGCGUUCAGUGAGGAGGAUGGUGCCGGUGUGGCCGCAGCCUGCGUAGCUCCAUGCGGUGCAGUGGAAGCUGCUUGCAGCCAUCAUUGCCACCAAAAGAGGCUGGUGUGCAGGAAGCAGCUGGGAGAGGUUUGCACAAGGACUUGUUGUUUGGUUGCUCACAUUAUAUCAGUGUUUGGGCUAUUGAAAGGGAUUUGGCCUUUGGGUCUCGCUUGCAUCUCAAUUUAUUUUUGCCCAUUCUCAGUUCUCUUUGUGAAUGCCAAUUUUCUGAGUCACUCAGAAUGAUUCCUGCCUUCAUUAGGGAUUCCUUCCAGCUUCCCUUUAACUGCCUGUAGGCUGCUGCCUGCCCCUGCCUCCCUCUGUGCACUUGGCGGUAUGGAUUUAGCUCUUAGUAUUCUGUAACUCAUCUCCUGCAGCUCAAGCAGCUGAAUACCUUCAUCCACGUGAAACUGUACUGUACCUUUGGCUCUGCACAAUUUGCAUUCUUCACCUGCCCUAUUCUGUGCCAUCCCUUCAGCUUCUGGCAUUUAAGGUGUGGUAUGAGGCUGUAGUUUAUUUCAGGCCUACAGUAGCUGUGCUUGAGGCUAUUCAAAUGAAAUGGUUAAACCAGGAAACUGAGCAUCCGGGAACCUUUAAUCUCUUUCUGUUACACUGUGUCCUUCUGUGUCAUCCUGGAUAAACCCAUUUUACCUACCGCUGUCCUUAUUUCUGUGACAUUCGUUAGAGUUUAAAUUGCCUGUGAUAUCUACACCACACAAACAGGGCUGCUUUUUUAGAAGCCUAAAUUAAAAGAUGCAAUGUAAAUAAGAGUUAAUCGUAUGCUCUUUAAUGGGUGCUCUUACAUGACUUGCUGACCUCUGUGGUACUCAAAAACUUGUCUACACGAAAUCAAAAAAUCAAUAAGGAAAAUAACCUGGGAUGGAGGAUGGGGCUCUAAUUGCAGCACUGAAUGUCAAUAGAGUAGAUGUCUUAAUGCUGGUUAAUGACUGUCCAUAAUGGCAUUCAAAAAAUGUACAUUUGCUGUCACUUUUUCAAAGUCCAGAUGAGCUGCGUGGAGCUCUGCUAAUGAUGCGAAUUAUUUAAGUCUCAUUUGUAUGCAGUAUGCUCCUGCUUUGAAAGUACUUUGCAGAAUUCAAGCCAAAUUCAGCCUUGCAGCUCCACUGAAGUCAAUGCUUGUCUGUGCAUCUGUUGAUUGUUUUUCUUUCUUCCUUUUUUUUUCUCUUCCUUUUAAGAGUUAUUUUCUUGUUGCACUGAUUUUAUUUUCUUAAAGGUAUUUUCUGCAACGGGUUUGUAGUCACUUCUCCCCUCCCCAGUAAAGUAGCUGUAAGUACAAAUGCAGUUCUAUUGAUUCUCCCAUCUCCUUCGUAAGCCCUACAAAUGAGGACAAGCUAUGCAGAAAAUAGUGUUUUGUGUUCUUUCCUUUAUACUACUUUGCACCUCCUAGGCACAGUUUUGGUGAUGCAUGGCACUUCUCCUAAAAAAUGUCCUGCAAAGAAUCUCUGCCUGCCAUCUGAUGUAUCCAAGAAACUGAGUUCCUGUCUGUUGCCUAUUUCUGGAUUAACCCAACACGAACUGAUGAAGGCCCUGGACUUGCACGAUUCUGCAGAAUGCGCUGAAGUAUUUGCCAAGAGAAUCCCAAACUACUGCUAGGACCCAAGCUUGUGUUGGAUUCUAAUAAGCCUGUCCAGAUGGUGCCUUCUCUCAGAAGAGGACGCCCUGGAUACGGAAUGAUUAAGAAGGAUGCCUGGACAGGUGAAGGGAGCUGGCGGUGGCAGUGCGCACGGCAGAUGAGGGAGCGAAUUGCUGCAGGACUGCAGGAGCCCAGGAGGAUCUUGCCAAGGGACAACUUUGGUUCAGUAUUUGCAUCAUCCACAGCUUGUUUACAGAAUUUGAAGUCUUGAACAAAGUGAAGCUAGCUGAUGAGGAGAAGCUGGUUUUCAAAAGGUACGAGCUCCAGGUAAGUGAGGACAAGUGAAGCACACAACAAUACAGAAAUCACUCGGUUUUACUGCAGCCAACUGAGACGGAGUGUGCUUUGGAGCUGGGAAAUUUCCAUUCCUGAAGUGCGGGACGGUGCCUGGAUACUGCUGCAACUGCAGCUGAGAAAUAAAAGCAACUCAAUCUUACAUAGCAGCAAAAUGUCAGUACAUUAAUUAAAAUUGAUAGAGUUUUAUAAGAUUUUAAGGUUGCUGUAAAAUUGAUUCCUUCUAGAAUAUUUAGAAAAUAACUGUAAAUGACUUUUAUAGAAAUUAAGAGUGUUAAAAGGACUUGAAAUUGCACCUAGGCUUUCAAGCUGUAUCCUAUUUGUGGACAUCAGAUCUGACAAGAACGUGACACUACAUCCCCUACAACAGUGACAAUGUGACAGUGGCAGAACGAUAUGCAGUGUGAGAUCAAGGUUGUUACGGACAGUGUAGUUCUGCAGCUAAUAAAUGUUCUUGCUCUCUGUGGCAUGUUCAAAACAAAUAUAGCUAUCUGUUUACCACUUUUAAGUCCAUAAUCUAUAAACCACCAUAAGCUUCCUGUAAAGUCAGUCAGAAUGCUGAGCAGGGAAGAAACAAAUACUGGGGGCAAAAAAAAGUGAGUUCGUUUUGGCAUCAAACUGCCCUGCUCUUUGGGCAAGACACUGCUUUUAACUUCCCAACGGCAUAAAAUUACAGAGAUUCUCAUUUACAUUGAGGUCACUUUACAUUGCUGAAGCAGCGGAUGACAUUUAAAUGAAAAUCUGUCCCAUGGGCUUUCAGCUAUAUGUCACUGGUUAAAUCAGGCCCAGGUAGGUUCAGACUAGAAGUUAUUAGCAUCUGAUGCUCUUUAUGAAUCUUAGGAUGGUUCCCAGCGGAUCAGAGCUCAUAUCUGAGCAAUUUAAGUUUGUGUCACAUUCAUCACCAUGGUUCCUGAUUGCCUUAGAAGUUAAAAUACAUCUUUAUAA